CUGAGGAGGACCCUCCACUUCAGACUGGAUGUCUUUCGUGUCGCAGUCUCCGCUGAGAUACCUGGUCAGCCAUUUGUUUGCCCCAGCAUGGCUGCCUACAAACAGAACAACAGCCAGGAACAGUUAAGGUGUCUGGAGCAAACCCACCAUGACUUUGAAGAACCUUAACUGGCUGGUGCAUCUGCCAUCCAGGCUUUGGCUUCUCCCUGUUGAGGAUGGCUGCAUACACCUUAUUGGCAUCCUUGGGGUUGAGUGGAGGCCAGAGGACUUUAUCCCCAUCGAUCCAAGUGAUCCAGCCAGGCCCUGAUUGCACUGAUCGUGAGCACCUGGGCCCGGUGCGUGGACAGAGUUAAAUGCCAUAUGGCUGAUGACACCUCACUCUCUCUGCUCUCCUCGGCGGCUCUGCUUCUCGGCCAGUGCCCGUACCUUUGCUUUGUCAUUUUGUUUUGUUUAUCCUCACAUCACCACACACACUACAUACUCCACACACUCACAUGUACACCACUGAUCACACUGACUAAAACACCUAUCCUUCUUUUGUUCAGUUGCAUUUGUUUAUUUGAAUAAAUAUAUCUUGUUAUUUAA